AACUAACGCUGGCGGCGUGCCUAACACAUGCAAGUCGAACGAGAAAGUUGGCUUCGGCCGAUGAGUAAAGUGGCGCACGGGUGAGUAACGCGUGGAUAAUCUGCCCUUUAGUUUGGAAUAACGUACCGAAAGGUGCGCUAAUACCGGAUAAUACUGAAUGACUACUGUCGUUUAGUCAAAGAAGGCUUCUGUUUACAUGCUUUUGCUGAAGGAUGAGUCCGCGUACCAUUAGCUAGUUGGUAGGGUAAUGGCCUACCAAGGCGACGAUGGUUAGCUGGUCUGAGAGGAUGAUCAGCCACACUGGAACUGAGACACGGUCCAGACUCCUACGGGAGGCAGCAGUGAGGAAUAUUGCGCAAUGGGGGCAACCCUGACGCAGCAACGCCGCGUGAGUGAGGAAGGUUUUCGGACCGUAAAGCUCUGUCGAGCGGGAAGAAAUGCAUGGUGGCUAAUAUCCAUCAUGCUUGACGGUACCGCUAAAGGAAGCACCGGCUAACUCCGUGCCAGCAGCCGCCGUAACAC
rnacentral:rRNA from 1 species